UUCUUUAUCUAGUCAUUCAUCAAAGGUCACUUUGGUUGUCUCCAUGUCUUGGCCACCAUGAAUAAUGCUACAGUGAACAGAGGGGUACAUAUAUCUUUAUGAAUAAGUGUUUCAAAUUAUUUGGGUAGAUAACCAAAAACAUUUGACUUCUGACAGUUACUAUUUAACCAUAGUCUCUGACACCCAUUUUGCUAAAUAUUUGGUUGGAUAGUGACAGGACAUGUGGGAAAGAGAAAGUGAACACAUUA